CGGCAAAAUGACUCCGUAACUUCGGGAGAAGGAGUAGCUUUUUCAGGGCAACCUGUUAAAGCUGUCACAAAAUCAAGGACAGCGACUGGUUAAUAAAACCACAGGUCUCUGCAAAAUUGUAAAAUGAAGUAUAGAGACUGACGUCUGCCCGGUGCUGCAAGUAUAAUAGAAAAAGUUGAGGCUUUGACUAGAAACCCCAGUAAACGGCGGCUGUAACUCUGACGGUCCAAAGGUAGCGAAAUUCCUUGGCAUUUAAUUGGUGUCCUGCAUGAAUGACGUAACGACUGUCCUACUGUCUCCAACAUAAUCUCAGUGAAAUUGAAAUCUCCGUGAAGAUGCGGAGUUCUUACGGCUAGACGGAAAGACCCCGUGCACCUUUACUAUAGUUACAUAUUGUAAUAAAAGUUUUUAUGUGUAGCAUAAGUGGGAAGUUAUUAUUGUUAGAUAUUUACGCAAGUAAAUAAUUUAAACGUUUGUGAAAUACCACUCUUAAAUUUUUUUAUUACUCAUUUUUUAAGACAGUGUGUAAUGGGUAGUUUGACUGGGGCGGUCGCCUCCUAAAGAGUAACGGAGGCGUACAAAGGUAAGUUCAAAUUAAAAAAGUUUAAUUGAAGAGCGUAAUAGUAUAUUGCUUGCUUGACUGCAAGAUUGACAAAUCAAGCAGGGACGAAAGUCGGUUAUAGUGAUCCGGUGAUUCUGUGUGGAAGUGGC
rnacentral:rRNA from 1 species